AGUGUUGUGCCUGAUUAAAGGAUUAUCGUGAUAGGAUAAAACAAGUAAUAUUAUUACCAUCACUA
rnacentral:tRNA from 1 species